rnacentral:rRNA from 1 species
UACGGAGGGUGCGAGCGUUGUCCGGAAUCACUGGGCGUAAAGGGCGCGUAGGCGGCCGUGUAAGUCACUUGUGAAAUCCCGGGGCUCAACUCCGAAACUGCAUUCGAUACUGCCGUGCUUGAGGACUGGAGAGGAGACUGGAAUUUACGGUGUAGCGGUGAAAUGCGUAGAUAUCGUAAGGAAGACCAGUGGCGAAGGCGGGUCUCUGGGCCGAUACUGACGCUGAGGAGCGAAAGCGUGGGGAGCGAACAGG